rnacentral:miRNA from 1 species
ACUAGGAGAGGGGAUGAGGAA